ACCUGGUAGGAAAAAGAAAAUGAUGUUACAGAAAAGAAACCGAAAGAAAAACAGUAUCAACACAACACAUUGCAAACAUCAAACUCAAGACAAUCCAACUCUCACAUUUCAAAGAUCUCUACAGGAAUCCACCCAAAAACAACCACCCAGUAGCGUAUUCGGGCAUUUUAACAAAUACCCAUGAAAAAACCGCAUCAAAGAUUUCAUCUUUCAAUGAAUCGAAAGAAAACUCACCGACAAAUAUCAGAAAAGAAAAAACCUUUGAAAGGGUGCUUCUAGGAAAAUUUCACAGAGACAAUAGAGAACCUAUGGCAUUGAAUUGCUGAGCAAAACAGUAGCGAAGAAUCUUCACAUACUUGUGAAGAGGGAAAGAGAGAGAUAGGCUGGGUUGAAGUGAAAAUGCAAAAUGCCUGGUAUGUUUAAAGACAAAUUUUGCAUCAGCAUGUCAGAUACAGAAAGUUGAAAGAGGAAAUAAUCCUGUGCAAUCGUUACUAUUCAAGAUUCCUUUAAAAUGGUUUUGUAUACGAUCAUCCUGUAACACACAGUCUCUGUGAUGUGAUCUCACCAGUAUCGUGACUUGUGAGGAGCGUUACGUAAAAUUCUGUCAGAACAAAAGUCGAAGUAAACUAGUUCGCCACGUCAGCACCCU
rnacentral:lncRNA from 1 species